UGGCGCAAGCCCGAGUUGUAAUUUGAAGAAGGUAAUUUUUGGGGGGAUGUCGACAAAAGUUCCUUGGAAUAGGACGUCAUAGAGGGUGAGAAUCCCGUUUUGUUGACCUCUCUCUCCUUGUAAAAUGCCUUCGAAGAGUCGAGUUGUUUGGGAAUGCAGCUCUAAGUGGGUGGUAAAUUCCAUCUAAAGCUAAAUAUUGGCGAGAGACCGAUAGCGAACAAGUACAGUGAUGGAAAGAUGAAAAGAACUUUGAAAAGAGAGUGAAAAAGUACGUGAAAUUGUUGAAAGGGAAGGGUUUUAAGGGAGACAUGGGGGGUAAUGAACAAUUUUCCUUUGGGAAGGUGCACUCAUUACGUUCUGGGCCAAUAUGGGUUUGAAGAGUAGGAUAAAAGGUUUGGAAUGUGGCCCUUGGGUGUUAUAGCCUCUCCUAAUACUACUACUUUGGACCAAGGAACGCGAUUUCUAGGA
rnacentral:rRNA from 1 species